UCGUCGUAUACGAAAGCUCGUCGUGGACGCUCUGAGAGUACAGCUGCACUGGUUCAACAUAGGCAGAUGGGCCGGUUGGCUUCCAUACUGUUUGCUAGGAGUGGGUGCAUACGUGAGCACUGACAGGCCUCGGUGUAGGCAUGACAUCGGUAAAAUGUUAUCUGGAUACCACGUACACAUCACCAAGCACGCCACCAUUCUUGUAUAGUGUCAAUGGGCACCACAAAGACACUGAUUGAAAGACUGUUCGGAGAGCCGGAUUCACGACUGCGUCAAUGGCGAUGGACAAUGAGGCAGUAGGCGAGAGGAAGGUCGAGCAUUGUGUUCCCUUGUCUCUGGCGUGUCGGAUGUUCCUGUAUGCCCUCCAGGGUUACUUCAUCGAGGUCACGUUCACAGCCAUCUGUAACCUAGUAGAAACUGGAAGCCUCGAGCUUCGUGGAUGCAGCAGCAUCUGGAGCCUGAUGAUUUACAGCAUCGCCACCAUCAGCAUGGAGAGAAUCAACGCUUUUCUCAAACCACUAGGCUGGCCGCUUGCGGCCAUAGCGUUUGUUCACAUGUGCUGCAUGUACGUGUGUGAGUUCACAAGUGGCUGCCUUCUCAGGACGAUCGGUGCAUGCUCCUGGGACUAUGGGGACUUUAUGUUCAACGUCGCUGGUUUAGUGACGCUAGAGUAUGCACCAUUAUGGUACCUCCUUGGAGUUAUUUUUGAAAAAGUCUAUGCUCCAAACAUGGGCAGGUUGGCGUGGGUUUACCGCGCAAAUCCUGCUCUAAAGCUUCAGCUGCCACCUGAAGAAAAGAGUGUCUCUUCGAAAGAAGACUAUCGGUAUAAGGAAGACACCUCCAUUUGCCUUACCUAGUUCAUUGAUUUUUCAGCAACCUGCAGCAGCGAAGGAUGGGAAUCAUUGGUCAGACAGAAUUUCUAACAUAAAAAAUAGGGUUUGACUGAGAUAAAACCAUAAAAGUCAUGACAUGCGAUAUCAGAUUAUUGCUAAGCGUAACGUGAAAUAAGGAAGUAGACGUGCCCAUUACAUGCAGCUUCGACCACUGUGAACGUAAGGGCUUCGAUAUCGCGAGUGCAUAAUGGGCACGCUCGUUUCUUGCUAGCACGUGUUCAAAUCUUCCAAUCAUCGAUAACUUGAAAUUCUGUAUUCAUAGACAACUAAAUAUUGCAUUCCGCUUACAACA